rnacentral:rRNA from 1 species
GACAGAGGUGGCAAGCGUUGUCCGGAAUUACUGGGCGUAAAGGGCGCGUAGGCGGCCACCGCAAGUCGACUGUGAAAUCUCCGGGCUUAACCCGGAAAGGUCAGCCGAUACUGCGGGGCUAGAGUGCAGAAGGGGCAACUGGAAUUCUCGGUGUAGCGGUGAAAUGCGUAGAUAUCGGGAGGAACACCGGUGGCGAAGGCGGCAUCCUGGACCAUUACUGACGCUGAGGAGCGAAAGCCAGGGGAGCAAACGGG